UACGGGGGGAGCAAGCGUUGUUCGGAUUUACUGGGCGUAAAGGGCGCGUAGGCGGUCGUGACAAGUCACUUGUGAAAUCUCCGGGCUUAACUCGGAACGGUCAAGUGAUACUGUCGGGCUAGAGUCCGGAAGAGGCGAGUGGAAUUCCUGGUGUAGCGGUGAAAUGCGCAGAUAUCAGGAGGAACACCAAUGGCGAAGGCAGCUCGCUGGGACGGUACUGACGCUGAGGCGCGAAAGCGUGGGGAGCAAACAGG
rnacentral:rRNA from 1 species